UACGGGGGGAGCAAGCGUUGUUCGGAUUUACUGGGCGUAAAGGGCGCGUAGGCGGCCUCUGCAAGUCGACUGUGAAGUCUCCGGGCUUAACCCGGAAAGGUCAGCCGAUACUGCAGGGCUAGAGUGCAGAAGGGGCAACUGGAAUUCUCGGUGUAGCGGUGAAAUGCGUAGAUAUCGAGAGGAACACCUGCGGCGAAGGCGGGUUGCUGGGCUGACACUGACGCUGACAGCGCGAAAGCUAGGGGAGCGAACGGG
rnacentral:rRNA from 1 species